AAAGUACUCCCUCCGUCCCAAAAUUCUUGUCUUAUAUUUUUCUAGAUACGGAUGUAUCAAGUCACAUUUUAGUAUUAGAUACAUCCGUAUCUAGACAAAUCUAAGACAAGAAAUUUGGGAAAGAGGGAGUAGUUG
rnacentral:pre_miRNA from 1 species